GGGCGCAAGCCUGAUGCAGCCAUGCCGCGUGUGUGAAGAAGGCCUUCGGGUUGUAAAGCACUUUCAGUCAGGAGGAAAGGUUAGUCGUUAAUACCGGCUAGCUGUGACGUUACUGACAGAAGAAGCACCGGCUAACUCCGUGCCAGCAGCCGCGGUAAUACGGAGGGUGCGAGCGUUAAUCGGAAUUACUGGGCGUAAAGCGUACGCAGGCGGUUUGUUAAGCGAGAUGUGAAAGCCCCGGGCUUAACCUGGGAACUGCAUUUCGAACUGGC
rnacentral:rRNA from 1 species